rnacentral:rRNA from 1 species
CAGUCGCCGCGGGAAUACGUAGGUGGCAAGCGUUGUCCGGAAUUAUUGGGCGCAAAGGGCUCGCAGGCGGUUUCUUAAGUCUGAUGUGAAAGCCCCCGGCUCAACCGGGGAGGGUCAUUGGAAACUGGGAAACUUGAGUGCAGAAGAGGAGAGUGGGAUUCCACGUGUAGCGGUGAAAUGCGUAGAGAUGUGGAGGAACACCAGUGGCGAAGGCGACUCUCUGGUCUGUAACUGACGCUGAGGAGCGAAAGCGUGGGGAGCGAACAGGAUUAGAUACCCCGGUAGUCCCUGUCUCUUAUAC